GAUGAACGCUGGCGGCGUGCCUAAUACAUGCAAGUCGAGCGAACAGAUGAGGAGCUUGCUCCUCUGACGUUGGCGGCGGACGGGUGAGUAACACGUGGAUAACCUACCUAUAAGACUGGGAUAACUUCGGGAAACCGGAGCUAAUACCGGAUAAUAUAUUGAACCGCAUGGUUCAAUAGUGAAAGACGGUUUUGCUGUCACUUAUAGAUGGAUCCGCGCCGCAUUAGCUAGUUGGUAAGGUAACGGCUUACCAAGGCAACGAUGCGUAGCCGACCUGAGAGGGUGAUCGGCCACACUAGAACUGAGACACGGUCCAGACUCCUACGGGAGGCAGCAGUAGGGAAUCUUCCGCAAUGGGCGAAAGCCUGACGGAGCAACGCCGCGUGAGUGAUGAAGGUCUUCGGAUCGUAAAACUCUGUUAUUAGGGAAGAACAAAUGUGUAAGUAACUAUGCACGUCUUGACGGUACCUAAUCAGAAAGCCACGGCUAACUACGUG
rnacentral:rRNA from 1 species